rnacentral:lncRNA from 1 species
AAAAAAGAAAAUAAGAAUAAUAAGAAGAAGAAGAAUAAGAAGAAGAAGCAGAAGAAGAAGAAGAAGACAAGAAGAAAAUAAGAAGAAGGAGAAGAAGAAUAAGAGGAAAAAACAAAAAAGAAAAUAAGAAGAAGAAGAAGAAGAGAAGAAAAGAAUAAGAAGGAGAAGAAGUAUAAGAGGAAAAAAGAAAAAAGAAAAUAAGAAUAAGAAGAAGAAGAAGAAGAAGAAGAAGAAGAAGAAUAGGAGGAAAAAAGAAAAAAGAAAA